rnacentral:rRNA from 1 species
CAGGCACAAGCUGGUCCUUAACGUUUUAACUCUAUAUACAUCACCCCGUCUGGACAGUCCACCCGUUCCUGGCACUGCCGGCAAACAUGCCGCAGAUGACUAGUCUCGUCUCGACACCGAGCUCUACACCUGCGGCAGUACCAGGUGCCAAGUCUUGACGACGAAAGGUCAAUCAAGCUGUCUGUGGCUCAUUUACGUCACCACCCAUCGACCCUCUCCGACACAGGAUAGAGUGCUCACACCUCGAAAGGAUAGACUUGUUACCGCUCUGCCGCCUCGGUGGCACACGCUCCUCCGCUAACGACGAUGAGCGCUUCUACCUCAAGAACUACGUUGGCUAAUCGUGUACGCCUAGCCAAACCAAAAACACAAUCAAAGACCCGUAAUAACAUCUAGAGUAGAGCCGCACCAAAAGGAAAACGUCGAUGGCCACCUCUACGUCCUGACACGACCUCCUCCUACACUUGCUAUCGCUGUAUGGGAACCUCGUGGCGGACGGCCGCUCGACUGCCGGAACAGACGUAGUUCACGCCCGUACGUCUAGACACACCGUCUCCACCGAGGUGUCCUCCGUCGACAUCUUUGUCGAGUUCGUAGGCUCAUAAGUAACCUCGUUUUAGCUGGGUUUUUCAGGUCCAACCUGCGCAUCUCAUUCCUAACCAUGACGACUCGGACUAUCUUUUGGUAAGGGUCCUUCCCAAAGUCGUCACCUUACAAAACGACUUUUGGGGCUGUUGUUACAGUGAUGGUUUUGAUCCCUAAUUGAAACUAUGUGACCCUCGUCAGAUUUACACGUCUCCUGUUUUAUGUACGUCCUCUACCAGACGCCAACACGCUCCCCUUCGAUUAUCAACUCUUGUGCGUGAGAACGGCAAACACUUACGGGACGAGAGUAUCCUGAUAAUGCAAGUUUCCUGUUACCAACCAUGUACCGGCUCGUAGUGCUCCUCGUGUUGGUGAGCGAAAGAGGGUGAAUACCAGUCUGUUAUGUAAUCUACAGUGUGUUUGUAUAUCUACACAUGUUGUCCCUAAACCACUUUUUGGACGUCGUCUUUUAACACUUGGAUCGUUUCCAUAUGUUGUAAUAGCCAAAACCCUUUUACCUAUUACACGGAACGUUUUUCUCGAGAUACCUUGGACACACUUUUAUUCGGCACUUGUUCGUCUUCUACUCUGUUACUUCCACAAAGUUCUCGAACCAAGGUUUCUAGUUGUGAAGUGAAUAGCCCAAGUUCGACUGUUCCUCCCCUCCUAGUUGUCAGACUUCACCCGAUUACACUUGUUGUUUAACGUCAUGUGGAAGCCUUGUUGUAUAUCCUAUUUAGAUUUGCUGUACGGAAAACCAGAUAAACAACCUCACUUUUUAGUAAAAGUCUCGUCCGCACGAACAAACACUACUCUGUCAACUUUGUAAACACAAUUUCUUGAUACACGGUUGUCCCCAUAAGACGCGGUUCUACUCAUCAUGUGUUGUGUCGUUCUCACGUUUAGUAUAUAAUUUCUUGAUACGCGGUGGUCCUACGGGGUACGAAUACGAACACUCUUUAAUAUACUCCAACGUCAAACUGUCCCUUCAUCUUCUCUUCAUGCUCCUCUUCGCCUGCUCUUAACAUUAUACCAAAGUAAUAAAUGAUAUGUUUAUAAAUCAACACAAACUGUACCUGGUAGUACCCACGUAACGUUCCAAACUAUUGACAACGGUUAAGUCUUCCCCCUAAACGGAGUAACUUCUAUGUCUAUUUACUAAAAGACUGGAGUAUAGCUAAGAGUGAAGGUAAGGAGUACAGAGGAUACAGAACACAGAGAAUGUAUCCGUCUUGCUGGACCCGGCAUCUAAUAUGCCACUUGCUCCCGCCGCCGUUGUGAUCUCGCGCUGUUCCGACCAACUCCAUAUUAAAUAAAUUUAGUAAAUGAAUGUCUGAUUACAAGCGAUACGAAGAGAAUCACUUGCGCACAUUAAAACACACUCUCGUAGUACCCACGUGACGAUUAAAUUAUUAGAAUCGUUACAUUACAAUUAGGUGGAUUAUUCUAUAUUAUCGAUGUUAAUCGUCUGUACGUAGGUAGAAGUACAAAGAUACCAUAAUUAGUAAACCCUCAUUUAAACGAUUGGGGUCUAGGACUUUAUAUGAAAAAAAUAGUCAAAACGAUCUUGAGUAGAUCUACUCUAUAUUAAACCAGAGUAAGUGGAAAAUAUCGGUAACCUACACUACGAUAUUCUACGCACACACGACUGCACCUAACAUAGACAAGAACAAAAGUUUCACUUACUCUGGUUUAAUAUAGAGUAGAUCUACUCAAGAUCCAUGAGGGAAAAAAAUAUCUUGAGAUGUAGAGCGACCUCACUUGAACAAAGGGUCUACAGAGUACGGUUUCAGACUCCGUGAACGCAUGAAUCGGUACGGUAAUUCUUCGGUUUAGGUAUCCACCAUAAGUAGGCGUGACAACGGACUGACACUUCGAGGCGGUGGUACGCUUUGGGAUAGUUCGG